UUUCUUUCAUUUUGCUUUUGCAAUUGGUCUUUAUGCUAUAGAAGGAGAAGAAACCUUGAGAAAAUAGAAGGCAACUGCUGUUUUCUCCUAGUGGACCUAAAAGCAAGCCAGUGUAGGACAUUACAGUCCUGCUAAUGAAGAUGUUAUCUCUGGAAACUUUCUGCAUUACUCAGCAUUAACGCCAUCCAGCUGCCAAGUAGUGAUGUCCUUCACUACCAAGAUAAUUCUCUGAAGAGCUGCAACAGUACUGGGAAAUGCCAC